GGAUGAUGAUGAUCUCAAUUAAUAAAUCUCGUUUGCCUUAAUGGCUCGACCACAUUAAGGACCAGCCUGAUAUAUCAACACCUACAUACCAAGUCC